CUGUACAUGUGUGAGGUGGCGAGAGGCGUGUCCAGGGGGCGGCUAGUAGCGUGUGCCACCGUGGAAAUAUGUACAGACAUAAAGAAGACGCCCUCAAGAAAGGCCUGAGUCCAGACCGAGACCCAGAGAAAUGUAAACAAACGCACCAGUCAGACUUGAUAUAGGAGUGAAUUUGUUGCUUUUUAAAGCGGCAGUCGGUCUGUACAUGUGUGAGGUGGCGAGGGGUGUCGCCAGGGGGCGGCUAGUAGCGUCUGCCACCAGGGAAAUAUGUAAAAACAUAAAAAAGACGCUUCUCAAGAAAGAGAGGGGCAGUCGGUCUGUACAUGCGUGAGGUGGCGAGAGGCGUGUCCAGGGGACGGCUAGUAGCGUGUGCCACCGUGGAAAUAUGUACAGACAAAGAAGACGCCCUCAAGAAAGAUGUGGUGAAGACAGUGUUAUGCACCACCACACCACCAUUACACUUCCUGUCUUGCUUGGUGAAUGAACAGAGCACCACUAACAUCACAUCAUUGCAUCACCACAUCACCACACCACCACCUCCUGUCCUGCCCCAGUGAAAUAGAACAUCACCACCACAUCACCACAUCAAGAGUCAGUGAUUGCCUGCAGCCAGCCCUAGCCUGACCCGCCAGACAUGUGUCCCAGGCCUUCCCCUAGCCUGUAGAGCCAUGUAAGCCUGCAGGUCAAGGUCAGGUAAAAAAAAAAACAGGCCGUAACGUAAAAGAUCAAGACAUUUACGAAGACUGUCUUUGAUGGGCUCAGGUCCUCCGUGCAGACCACCAACAAGCAAGAGAUUGACGAAAUACAGGUUGUGAAGACGCUGCAAGCUGAUGCCUUCAGAGAUCGCGAAGGUCCUCACCUUGUUGUAGGAGAGCUGACAACAUGUACCAGCCAGCAGCAACUCCCAUGCUAACAGGCUUCUCCCCCGCGGGUAUGUAGCACCUCUGGAGUCGCUCGAUGAAGAAGAGGAUGCUGGCGAGGCCUGUCGUGUUAGCCGGGAUGCGCCGGUACAGAGCUGUGUCCGUUGGGGUUGUGUAGGCAAGCAUCUUCUUGGCAAGGUCCUCGUAGGUGGCCGCAAACAGUUUACGGCUGUGGGAUGAGAACUUGUCUUGUGAAUGUGACGUUGGGAGGAGGGAAGCACAGGGGAAGAGGAGGACGAGGAGGAAGAGAGUUAAGAGUCACAAGAGGAGGAGGAAGGUGGAAAGAAAGAGGAAGGAGAGGAGGAGGAGGAGGAGGAGGAAGAUGGAGAAGGAAAGGAGAAAGAUAAGAAGGAAGGAAAUGCCGCAGAAGGAGAAGAGCAAUAAGAAAUUAGAAUUGACAGAGAAACCAGACAAGGGACUGCAAUUUGAAGAAGCACAAGAACCAAGAAAUUACAUCAUUCAAUGAAAUGACAACAUAAUCUAAAAUAGAAAUCAAAAACGUCACAAGACAGAAUAGUGAGCUGCAUGCACUUAUCACAGAGUAUAAAGUCACUCCCUCAGAGGAAAAAGACAAGGAUGGCAUGUCUUCAUGUGAGAACUCAGAAGCUAAAUGUACAGAUACCAAGGGGAAAUUGCUGGGUCAAGUGGCUACACUGACAUCUGAGGUUAGCAGGUUGGAGAGUGAGUGCAGCAGUCUUCAGGUUCAGCUAGACUGUGAGAGGGAUAAGUAUAACAAACUGCUGGGAGAAUCUCUUGCUCAUGAAAAGUUGUCUGAAGAUGUCAUAACUGAACCAAAAGGAGAAACAACAGGAUUGGGAGGAACUGAGCUUUAACAGAAGCUGCAACAACUGCAGGAGCCUCACAGGGUCCUGGAGAGCAGGUUAACUUGCAGCAUGAAGGAGGUGGCUGAGCUAAGUGACAGGAAGUAGCAGCUUAAGCAUGCUGUAGUGCAUGAGGAGACAGAGUCCAUCGGUGUAUGCAUGUUUUUUGCUCAUUUGAAUCAUCUGUAAAAGUGAAGUGGAGGAAGUGUUUACUGUUUACUGUAUGCCAUUUCCUUGGUCUUUUAAUGAAGAAUUUUAUCCUUCUUCAGGUGACUACAUCACCAUCUACCAGUUGCAGCGAGGAGUGAUGAAGCAACAAGCUCGAGAACGCGAGUUAGACCUUGCCAGCCUCCAUCAUGAAUGAGAGGAAAUGAAGCAAAACCACUCUGCAGGAUUUGAUAUCAAAGCUGGUGCAGGAAAAGGAAGCAGAUCAUGACCUUCAGCAGCUCGAGAAGAUAAGCAGCGUCCUUAAGAGUCCAGUUGCUAUCUUUAGCAGUGUUGGAACCAGUGAGUCUGAGACACCCACCAGCAGUGGAAAGCUGGCUGACGAGCGCCUCAAGCACUCUGAAAAGGUGGAGCAACAACAAGAAACAGAAAAUUGCAUCCAUCAUUCUUUGCCUGAGGAGGGAAUUGAUGCUCUGUUGACCCUUCACACUGAUGUCCCUCAUGAGGAGGCAGAAUAUGAAUCCUACAGAACUUGCCCAUAGAAAGACCAAAACUGUUACUGCUGCCACACUGCCACCACUUCCACUGACACCA